UUCUCUCAGUAGUAACUGAAACACUCUCUCUCCCUUAUCAUGGUUGUCGUAUUAAUGGGAUAAAACGCAUCUCUUCUCCUUUUUUCCUCCUUCUAAAGUGAUUGCCCAAUUGCUGAUAUCUUUUCCUAUAUAAAUUGAUGAUUAUUGCUGAGAUUUUGAGUUAAUCAACCCAUAUUAUUUUUAUUAAGUACUAUUUUUCAAUGUAUUAAUUCAAGCACUAUGUUUCCAAGCUACUAUCAUUAGGAACUGCAGAAGAACGAGAAUUUUGUAGAAGUGAUUGGAGGAGGAAGACUGGACAUUUGACUAGCCUGGAAAGGAGAGUUAGGUAAACGGGAGAGAGUUUUUUUGUCCUUUCGUUUUUGAUAAAAUUUUGCUAAAGAGAAUAGACAUGCUGAAUAGGAGGAGAGAAAUAGAAACAGUUGUGUUGUGGUGAAAUUAUAGGCAAAGAAGAAUAAUAUUCCGGUUACUCCAUUGAAAAGGAAGAUAAUGCAUGAACAAAAAGGUGAAGAAGUUUAAGGGACAUCAGAGUGAUAGGAAGAUAUCUGAUUGUGAAGCUUCUGCUAUAGAUAGCGAGCCUACAAUUCCUUAAGAGGGUGACAAACUGCUGCCAUGACGACUGCUCUGGGGAAUGCCUACUCAAGAAUAGCUGAAGAGUUUGGAUUACAGAACUAUGUAGCUGGUGUAGAGCAAAAUAGUUCCUCUAAAUCUGUUGAGACAAGCAAAAGUCUCUUAACAUGGUGAACAAUCCGGAGUUGAAAGCCGUCAUUGAGAGAUACAUUUGUCAAUUAUCAUGAGAAUGGUCUUGCUUAAUAUGUUUGCCAUCAUACCCAUUUUUAAAAAUAUUUUUAUUGCUUUGCCUCGUGCGAUAAAAUAGUACUUAAUAUAUCAUGACGACUAACGCAUGUCCACUUUUGAUUAAAUAUUGUAAAAGUGAUAUUUUCUCAAUUUU